rnacentral:rRNA from 1 species
CCUACGGGUGGCAGCAACCGGGAAUUUUGGACAAUGGGGGAAAACCCUGAUCCCAGAGACGCCGCGUGGGGGAUGAAGGCCUUCGGGUUGUAAACUCCUUUUGUAGUCUAUAGUGGACUAAGAAUAAGCACCUGCCAACUACAUGCCAGCAGCCGCGGUGAU